CAGAAACCUUUUAAUGGUCAUGCUUGUCACUUCCCCUGGCAACGCGUCAACAUGGUGCCUUUUCAGCUAACAAAAAGUAGGAUAAUGCAUGAAGAAAUUAUGCCGAAAAAACAUGAGGCCUCCAAACGUAAAAAUAAAGCCCAGAGUGAGACACUGAAGACCAGCACUGAGGCCAUCACAGAUCCAAACACAGACCCCAGUACUGUCUCGUACCCUGGAACACCUAUCAACCAGGACAUAGUGAAGGAGAAGAAAAAGAAGAGGGCUAUUAUACUGACCAAAGAUGAGAAGAACAUGGCCGCCUUAGAGAAAACCUGCCAGGCCUUUAGGUCCGACCAGACGGAGUAUGAGCGGUUUCUGGAUCACAUGACUCUCUGGCUCCAGGAGCACCAGGAACAGGCAGUGGAGCUGUUCAGCCUGUGUGAUACAGACAGCCCUGGUACCAUCCCUUUGAGCUGGGUAAUCCAUCCCUCUUCUGGUCUGUUACACCCUCAUUCCCAGCCAAAUGACCCAAUAUCUGCUGGAAAAUCUAUCAAAGCUUUCAUCUGGGGCUCAUGGCUGCAAUUAAGGUAUGACAGACCUGGGGAUUCCAUGUCUGCAAUUUCAGCUGGAUCUGCUGCCUCAGCUACUGAGGAGAGGCAACGAUGGGGAGAUUGAUUACAGGGACAUGAGCAACC
ensembl:lncRNA